GAGCAGAGCCCCUUCCCUCCCUCCCUUGCGCGUGCGCGCUAGCCCGCUCGCGCCCAACCGUCCUUCGUGGCGGCCGUUGGGGCUGAGGCAGUGUCGCGCGUCUCUCCUGCUCUGACGUCAUCGGGAAGGCCCCAACCAUAGAUCUAUUCAAGAAAUGAAGACUGCCGAACGUUUCGGAGCUUCCGGAUCAUCUAGUGGUCAACCGUUAAGGAACAUAUCACGUGGUUGCAGAUCAGAUUUUGCAAAGACGUUUGCCGCACAAGGAAGCACGCGAAACAGCAAUACAUCCAUCCACCACUGAAAAGAUCUCAAGAGAAAGGAUAUGUUUUGUAGAUAUUGCCUCAAGGGUGAAUCCUUCAUAGCACUCACAACGAUGGGAACUGCCACUGGGAACACAGAUUUGUUGGCAGUCGUGGGUUCCAGGGGCACAGACGUCCAAAGCUGAAGAAUGAACUAUU